rnacentral:rRNA from 1 species
UACGUAGGCAGCGAGCGUUGUUCGGAAUUAUUGGGCGUAAAGAGUGUGUAGGCGGUGCUCUAAGUCUGUCGUGAAAUCUCCCGGCUUAACUGGGAGGGUGCGGCGGAAACUAGAAUGCUAGAGGGUGGGAGAGGUAAGCGGAAUUCCUGGUGUAGCGGUGAAAUGCGUAGAUAUCAGGAGGAACACCUGUGGUGUAGACAGCUUACUGGACCACUUCUGACGCUGAGACACGAAAGCGUGGGUAGCAAACAGG